GAAAGAGAGAAAGGAGAAAAAAUAUAUACCUCUGAAAGGUAAAUUCCAUUGCAAUGUAUCUUAAAACAUACAUGUAUUGAAAUAUAACAAGUAGUACAUCAGAGGAGAAGUAAUUUAUCAAUCAGAACAGCUGACUGUAUCUAUGAUCCUUGGAUUACAAAGCCUUUUAAAUAAACACCAACUAUCAGUUUACCAUAUAUGUAUCUGAUAAUACACACCAAUGGCCUUUAGUGAUGUCAUAAUGCAUUAAAUUUUCUUAUGUUCACCAUAGUUUUAAAAUACGUACAGUCUUGAAUCAUCUGAUUGGUCUGAAUUGCAUGGUAAUACACAGUCUUCAGUACAUGAAAAAGUUAGGAAUCUUUAUUUUUUAACUUUAUGGGAACAUAUAUGUAGGACUCCAAAGAGCGAUGGGACUCUAAAACUGAUGGUCAUGCUAAAGUCCAAUGGUUCGCAUGCAGUUGCCAAAGUCUGAUGGUGUGACACGCCAAAGUCCAAAGGUUUUAAUUAGACUCACAACACUGACAAGAGCACAAUUAGUGUUUCCUUAAUGCGUAUUUUCUUAUUUGUCUGUAUGUGUCACUAUUAACUACAUUCAAACUGAAUGAGUGUAAAGAGGACGCCUUCUGCUUAUGCAUUAUUAUUUCAAUCAAAAAGCCUCUACCCUAAGUUCUCUACAUGUAUCUUGGAUGUGAUCGUCAGUGACUAUUUUAAAGCACAUUUUAAAAGUGCAACAGGUACUUGGACCAAUAUGUACAUUUUUGUUUAUGCUGUCCACUGUCACAAUUAUGAUGAAUGUUCGGCCUUUACCGGUACCUGUAAUUUGCACCUCGCUUCAGCAGACAAAAACUGCUUGGACUAGGGCCAUUAUUCUCCUUUUUUUCCUCCCUUUGUCAAAAACAUAUCCACCAAAUGUCUGAAGAGCCUGCCUCUUCUAUCUUGUUGAUUUUGUAAUUACUACUACCACCUUAUCUAUGACGUAGUCAUGACAUGACGUCACAAAUGUUGUUAUUCUGUCAUUGGACUUUGGCGUUCGCAUUGACAAUUGGACUUUGGAGUCUUACAUAUACGAUGAGUGUCUACCUUUUUUUCGACUUUAUGGGUACAUAAUACAGGGGUAGGUACAUGAUCAAAUAUAUCAUAAAGCCCUUCCAACUUUAUGGUAGAUUUGAUGCGACUGCCCAUGUCUAUUCAAGCACUGACUGCUUAUUUUUGGAUAUCAUUGGUCCUAAAACACACCAGGCUGUGCUGUUAAACAAAUUGAUCACUGCACAUUAGUGCAGUAUGAUAAUAUUUCUGCACAGCCUGGUCUAUUUUAGGACCAAUGAUAUUCUAAUAUUUAUAUUAUUUUCAUUGUUUAUUUUGAAUAAAUUAUUUGUCCCAUUAUUGACACUGGGGUCAAAGUUUCAAAAAAUUUGAGUGUAAACUGAAUUGGAAUAUUUGUAGAGUAAUAUCAUAUAUUGUAGCAAUGCUAAAAAGAUUUUUCUCUGUGUAGGUGGGUUUUUUUUAUCCACUCUAGGGCCCUACUGAUGUUUUGGCAGUCAUAGUUACAGCAAAAUUGAAUCAACAAUACAUCUGGAUACCUGUAUAGCAAUAUAUCACAAAUUGUAGUUCUUAAGAUGACUUUAAAAAGAUUUUCUCUACAUAUUUCAAUAAUAAACUUUUUUAACCCUUCCUGGGUCCCCAUAUUGAUUCUGGGGUCAUGAUCUGAACAAUUUAGAAUCUACAAUAUAUCAGGAUGCUUGCACAGUAAUAUCACAAUUUGGAGCAUAACUGGUAGUUUUCACCUCCAGUUCAGGUGAUCUAGCUAACAAAGUAAAUGACACUUAAUAAAUAAAUAACUAGCUUGAUUCCACAAUAUUCUUAACUUUUCAGAAAUCAUAUAUUCCACUUUUUUAGCACAUUAGCGUUCCCCCAAGGAUUUACAUCCUCGGCAAAAACAGACUUAAUGAGAGUUUACUUUUUUACUGAAACUCAAAACUGAAGCAUCCACGAAAAUACAUACCCACGAAUAAACAAAAAACCUACAAUCCAAAAAAAUUGGCCCCCACAAAUUUAAAUAAUUCAACAGUAAUUACUAGAUCCUUUUAUAAAAGUUUCACACAAUGCAUGCCUUUCGUUGAAAUAUUUUUGACACCUAACCUCAAUCCUAUAUCAGACCUUUAUCCGAUACAGGGAUAUAUUUAUAAUGACAUGACUAACUUUGAAAAUAAUGUACACUAUCAUGGCUUUAAAUUAAUUUCAGAAUUAAAUUACGCCCUUAUGAUCUACUGAAGAAUAAUUUUAAAAUUGUUUUCUGUUUAUUCCUACGAUGAACUUCAAAUCUCUAAAACUGCCCAUAUCUGACUCUGGAGGUCAUGAAUUUGAAUAACUGAAAUCUGUCACAGGAGAAUUGGUUCUUUAAAAGAUUUUAAAACACACUGCCUUAUUUCUAUUCUUUCUUAAUAAUCUCCUAUUGGAAAAAGUUAUGACCCUACAUUUGAUCAAACUUAAAAGCCCUUGUUGUGUAAACCAUGGUAAAAUUGACUCAGUGGCUCUAGUGAAGUUGAAAGUGUAAAACGUUUACAGAUAGAUGGACAGGCACUGGAUAAAAAAUGAUCAGAAAAGCUUACUUGUCUAAUGAGCUUUCAGGUCAGGUUCACCACAAUGCAGACUUACAAUGAACCCACCUCAGACAGAUCUAUCAAAAACCAUUUGAGUUAUGCUCAAAAAAUACCAACAAUACCAAGAUCAUAAAUUGUGUCUGGCUUCCAGUGGUGAAUCCAUGCCGAGACUAAUUGCAAUCGCCAUCAUAGAUUUAAUGAAAUCUGUGUGGGUUUCUGUUACUUAUGUAACGCACUGUCUGCUACAUUUUUUAAUCCAGCCAAUGACGCCAUUAGACUGUACAACACCUGCUGGGUUCUUGUUCUGUUCUUACUGGCAGAAGCAAAAAUAGAUUGACAAUACAGAAGGAGGUUCUUUAUGAUAAACAGUUUUGCAACUAUUUGUUACAUUCAGUUUUUCAAAAUAAUGUUUUAAAUAUAAGUCAACAUCUACAUGCAACUUGUCUUUGUUGGGGUUUUUUUCAGCAAUUUUUUCUUUUUUCUUUCUCCUCCAGACAACUCAGAAAGUAUAUAGAUAUAAAAUUUCUUUGUACUAGCAAGAUUACAACUUUUGUUCGUUUGCUGUGGUGCAGUUCAGUCCAGACA